ensembl:lncRNA
GGCGUGGCCUGCCGGACUGCGGUCAGCGAGCGCCUGUUGGACUCUUGCGCAAGGCGGAGGCAGCCAGGGGACUUUCGCGAUUACUCCAAGUGCUGCACAGGUUCCGGGCCGCCGGGCCACCCUGCCUCCCCUCCGGGUCUACGCCGCCUGCGCCGUGCUGAGUCGGAGGGCCGCUGGAGGGGACGGCUGUCGCGUCCUGUUACUGGGCUUGCUACCCGCGUGGGCUCCGUCUGAGAUUGUAGCAGAAGUGCGAGAGAUUUGCAGUGUGGCCGCGCAGAACGAGCUGGGCCCGGCCCGCUGAGUUUGUGCCUGGUCUGGGAGGCCUGGGCGCCCACUUCGGUGGGAACCCCCAGUGGGAGGGGCCUUCUCGCGGUCCCCGUGACCACCGAGGCCUGCAUGGCUCCUGGGCACUGGCCGUGAACCCCGCAGAGCAAGUGCACGUUUAUUUCCCCUUGUGCGAAGAAGCAGCACCCAGGACAGAUACAGAGUUUGCAGGGCCAGCAGGGCAUAAGUGCAGCAGGAAAGACUGUGCCGUGUUGCCUCCAUUGUGUGCCAUCCUUGGGAGAACUGAGAAAAUCACCAAGAAAAUCACUUCUGGGUCUUGGGGUUUAGAUGAGAAAGGCAUGACUGAUAAAGGGUAGUCCUCAAACAUAUUUUUGCAAUGGAUGAACACAUUGACCCACCGCCGGGAGUGAGUCAGGUUUCUUCCUUCUGACUGCAGCAGCGUCUUGGGAGGACGAGACUCGUGAGCAAGAAUGUUCUGGAAAUCUUCGCGGAAGGGUUUUAGAGCGACCUGCCACUUAGACUUUUUCCAUCUGUAACAGUCAGGGCUGUCAAGCCUGAUGGAAGAGCGUGUUGUGUGGACUUUGAACAGGGCCAGGAGUAGGAAUGGCCGGGGAAGGGGGAGUUAAAGGAAAUUUCAGGAACAUUUGGCUCAUCUGUGGGUGGGCGGAUGUGGGGUCAUUAGGCGCCGAUGAGAUGACAUCUAAAGCAUGGGGAAGUCAGGGUGGGCUUAGAAAUGGUGCUGUUCCAGGCCAUUUCUACAGAGCGUGGAAAUUAAGGGGAGGUGAAAUGAGCGAAAGUCCUGUAUUUGCCAACAGCAUGCUGUGGUUAGCUGCGCUGUAGCAUGAGGGAUUUGAGGCUUGGAGGCGUCUCCUAGAGAACUGUAGCCUAGUCUUGCCGACAGAGCAAGGACCAAAGGAAAGGAUGGGGCAAAUCAUUGUCCUGAAUGUGUUCAAACACUAAAUCGUUAGCAAAGAUUUAUGAAGGGGCAGACUGCUGGCUUCUAGGGGUGGAAGCUUGAACAAGGCCAUCCUGAUCCCUGCACUUACAGGGUGGCUUGGAGAGGUGAGGGACAGAUGGUGUGUAUGGAUGGCAACGUGCUGAGUGCUGUGCGAGGUUCCAGAGGAAGCUGCAGGGGAGGCGGGUGUGCCCGUGCCUUUCUUGCAUACCCUUGUGAGGGUGUGCACAGGUGUACAUUUGGCAGGAAGGCUGUGGAGAGCCUGGGGGUACAUGAACAACAUCCAGAGAUGGCGUUGGAAGAAGGAGAGGCCCCGGCCAGGACAUGCAGAGCCUGAGCCGGCAAACUGAAAGCAGUUCUAGCUUUCAGUCUUGUGUCUGUGUUUUGGAGGACAGGACCUGAAGUCUGAGGCCAAAGAGUAUAUGACUUUGGGAUAUUUGUGGAGAAUUAGGUCUCUAUCCAGACCUGGAAUUCCUAUUUUUAAAAGAAUUGGUGCCAUGACCCCUUUGGCAGCCUGCCAAAACCUAUAAACUCCUUUGAAGAGUAAUGCUUUUAUUUAAAUAAAAGACCCAAGAUUAAAGAGGAAACCGUUUGUAUUGAAAUACAGACAUUGAGCCAACUUUGUGAUAUAUUAAAGCUGCAUUGAAACCACCUUUGUAAUAUAAGUGCUUUUUUAUAAAUGGCAUUAAGUAGCCAGAAGUGGUCUGAUGAAUACAAUUUCCAAAUUAUGUUCUGGAUAAACAAUAUUUUGAG